rnacentral:rRNA from 1 species
AGACUCAGUGAAAUUGAACUCGCUGUGAAGAUGCAGUGUACCCGCGGCAAGACGGAAAGACCCCGUGAACCUUUACUAUAGCUUGACACUGAACAUUGAGCCUUGAUGUGUAGGAUAGGUGGGAGGCUUUGAAGUGUGGACGCCAGUCUGCAUGGAGCCGACCUUGAAAUACCACCCUUUAAUGUUUGAUGUUCUAACGUGGACCCGUGAUCCGGGUUGCGGACAGUGUCUGGUGGGUAGUUUGACUGGGGCGGUCUCCUCCUAAAGAGUAACGGAGGAGCACGAAGGUUGGCUAAUCCUGGUCGGACAUCAGGAGGUUAGUGCAAUGGCAUAAGCCAGCUUGACUGCGAGCGUGACGGCGCGAGCAGGUGCGAAAGCAGGUCAUAGUGAUCCGGUGGUUCUGAAUGGAAGGGCCAUCGCUCAACGGAUAAAAGGUACUCCGGGGAUAACAGGCUGAUACCGCCCAAGAGUUCAUAUCGACGGCGGUGUUUGGCACCUCGAUGUCGGCUCAUCACAUCCUGGGGCUGAAGUAGGUCCCAAGGGUAUGGCUGUUCGCCAUUUAAAGUGGUACGCGAGCUGGGUUUAGAACGUCGUGAGACAGUUCGGUCCCUAUCUGCCGUGGGCGCUGGAGAACUGAGGGGGGCUGCUCCUAGUACGAGAGGACCGGAGUGGACGCAUCACUGGUGUUCGGGUUGUCAUGCCAAUGGCACU